AGCCAGGAGGCGGGCUCGCGCGGCGGGAGGCGGGCAGAGCGGAGCGGUGGGCUGGGGGCUGGAGGACAGGUUUGUGCGCUGGACGCAAGCCGCAGGCGCAGCCUCGCUCACCGAGACCCGGCCAGAGACAGGGUUUCACCGUGUUGGCCAGGCUGGUCUCGAACUCCUGACCUCAGGUAAUCCACCUGCCUUGGCCUUCCAGAGUGCUGGGAUUACCAGACGUGAGCCACCGUGCCUGGCCGACCCAUCUUCUAAGAGUCGAAUCUGUCUGUGUUGUGUUUACCUUUCUUUGCUCUCCCAAGAAUGUGUUACGAGUCAGUUUUUAGUGAAAAAACAUUGGGUUAGGAGCCAAGACCCAUCUCUUCACUAUUUUGGUAUUGUGCAAGUCAUCUUAUCUCUUUGGACCUCAGUUGUCUCAUCUGUAAAAAGGAGAUAAAAAUUAUUUACCUGCCUGAA